rnacentral:rRNA from 1 species
GAUGAACGCUGGCGGCGUGCUUAACACAUGCAAGUCGAACGGGAAUUACUUUAUUGAACCUUCGGUCGAUUUAAUUUAAUUCUAGUGGCGGACGGGUGAGUAACGCGUGGGUAACCUGCCUUAUACAGGGGGAUAACAGUCAGAAAUGGCUGCUAAUACCGCAUAAGCGCACAGAGCUGCAUGGCUCGGUGUGAAAAACUCCGGUGGUAUAAGAUGGACCCGCGUUGGAUUAGCUUGUUGGUGGGGUAACGGCCCACCAAGGCGACGAUCCAUAGCCGGCGUGAGAGGGUGAACGGCCACAUUGGGACUGAGACACGGCCCAGACUCCUACGGGAGGCAGCAGUGGGGAAUAUUGCACAAUGGGGGAAACCCUGAUGCAGCGACGCCGCGUGAAGGAAGAAGUAUCUCGGUAUGUAAACUUCUAUCAGCAGGGAAGAUAGUGACGGUACCUGACUAAGAAGCCCCGGCUAACUACGUG